AAGGCGUUCAGAUACCGCCCUAGUUCUAACCGUAAACUANGCCUACUAGGUGUAUGAAUUAUUAGUUAUAAUAAUUUAUGCACCUUCUCGGAAACGAAAGUCUUUCGGUUCCGGGGGAAGUAUGGUUGCAAAGCUGAAACUUAAAGGAAUUGACGGAAGGGCACCACCAGGAGUGGAGCCUGCGGCUUAAUUUGACUCAACACGGGAAAACUCACCCGGGCCGGACACUAUAAGGAUUGACAGAUUGAUAGCUCUUUCAUGAUUUAGUGGUUGGUGGUGCAUGGCCGUUCUUAGUUCGUGGAUAUGAUUUGUCUGGUUGAUUCCGAUAACGAGCGAGACUUUUAUGUUAUAUUAAAUAAUAUUAUUUUUUAUAAUAAUAUUUUAUUUUAAUAACAGAUUAAUAGUGUUUAACUAUUUGAGAGAGAGCAAUAACAGGUCUGUGAUGCCCUUANAUGUCCGGGGCUGCACGCGCGCUACAAUGUAGUGAUCAUUAUGUUCCUGGUUUAGAGAUAAAUGGGUAAACAUUGAAAACAUUACGUAACUGGGAGUGAAACUUGCAAUUAUGUUUCAUGAACGAGGAAUUCCAAGUAAACGUAAGUCAUUA
rnacentral:rRNA from 1 species